CUCGAUCCCACCAACCAUGAGAUCACGCCCGAGCCAAAAUCACGAGUCGGAUGCUUAACCGACUGAGCCACCCAGGUGCCCCUGAUUUUAUGUUCUCGAAGAAUCCCUCAUGUUUUAUUGCUUUUAAGGGAGAAAGAUAAUCAAGCCCAACAAAACACUGUGUAACUCAUUACUAGAUGCUGAGGAAGUCACAUUAAAUAUGAGAACACAGAAUGAAAGGGGACAAACGGACGCUCCUUGUGAGCAGGUCAGGGAACAGCAAAGAACGUAUCGGUUAGGAUUAGGCUCACCGCUAGUGACUCGGCCCGAUCACAGAGGCUUAACCACACAAAGUUAGCUUAUCAGUUCACACAAAAGUUCAGAGGUAGUUGCUGUAGACUGAAUGUUUGUGUCCCCUCCCCCCCCAGCCAAAUUCAUAUGUUGAGGCUUAAUCCCCAAUGUGAUGGUGUUGGGAGGUGAUGCCUUUGGAAGGUGCUUAGGUCAUGAAGGUGGGGCCCACAGGAAUGGUCUUAUGACCUUAUAAAAGAGUUCCAGAAAGUUCCAUAGCCCUUUCUGCCAAGUGAGGGCACAGCGAGAAGACAGUCGUUUAUACACCAGACAGCAGACUCUCACCAGACACCAAAUCUCUGGGCACCUUGACCUCGGACUUCCCAGGCUUCAGAACUAUGAGAGAUAAAUAAAUACAUUUUUAUUUACAAGUCACUUAGUUUUUGGUAGUGUGUUAGAGCAGCUCAAACAGGCUAAGACAUGAGGCAACCCAGGGCUGGUGUGGUGAUUGCACGAAGUCAUCGAGCUCCUUCCGUCUUCUGUUUUGCUGCGCAUCACCUCUAGUCGCAAGGCAGCCUCACAGUCUCAACUGGCUGCUGGAGCUCCAGCCAUUGUGUCCACCGUCAAAGCAGCAGAAAAGGAGAAAGAGAGGAAGAAGGGCUGAAGCGCCCCGGCCUUUUGUGUCCCCAUAUAGACUUGCCUGCCCUCUGGAGUUUCUCCCUGGCCUCCUCGGAUGCCAUCUCUCACUGACCCGCGGGUCCCCUCCCCUUCCGGCUGGGCCACCCCGUCCCGCCCACCCGGGCCCGUCGAGAAGGGAGACGGGGUCCACCAGGGCAUCAUCACCCUCGAAGCCACCCUGCCAGGCGCUCAGGUUUUGGAUGUUCUGGAAGACACAGAAACACGCUGCUCAAAUGUCUCUCCAGUGAGAAGCAGGCGGUUAGCUGAUCGUCUCCAGCAGGGUUGCUGUCUGUAGAUGUUGGGAAGGCACCAUCAGAGAGAGAGGGAUGCUGGGACCAUACCCUCGUAGAGACAGGGGUACUGUGGACACACUCUCAGAGAGAAGGAUGCUGGGAACGUCUUCAGAGAGAGGGAUGCUGGGGACACACCCUCAGAAAGAGCUGCUCGCCCUCGGAGAACCAGGACCUGUGACUACCUGUCCACGGAAGCCUGAUUCAGAAGUUUGAGUGCAGAAAGGGACCAUCCUGAGGCGUUGUAGCAUUAGACGGCACUGUCAGCAAAUGUUGUUAAUUAUCUGAUCAACAUAGGUAUGAUGGAUUUUCAAUCUUAUUUAAAGUUUAAACUGUCUCCAGAAAGCUGGGUAACAUGCUUUGUUAUUCCAUGUAAAUCUCUAACGUGUCUACACAGCUCUCCGCGUGUCUGCUCAUUAUGUGGGGGGAGAAACCUCUUGGCACUUUUAAUGCUUCUCCCCAAAGAACACCUCUAACCAAGCGAAAGCAAUCUGAUUCCCCAGCUGGAAUGAUGUAAGUGGAAUUAAAUAUUUUUAAAUGA